rnacentral:rRNA from 1 species
AAUAGAUACCCGGGUAGUCCACGCCGUAAACGAUGGUCACUAGCUGUUAGGGGAUCGACCCCCUUUAGUAACGAAGCUAACGCGUUAAGUGACCCGCCUGGGGAGUACGGUCGCAAGGCUAAAAACUCAAAGGAAUUGACGGGGACCCGCACAAGCGGUGGAACGUGGGGUUUAAUUCGUCUCUAAGCGAAAAACCUUACCGAGGCUUGACAUCUCUAGAAGAUCCUAGAAAUAGGAUUGUGCCGAAAGGAACUAGAUGACAGGUGCUGCAUGGCUGUCGUCAGCUCGUGUUGUGAAAUGUUCGGUUAAGUCCGUUAACGAGCGCAACCCUUGCCGUAUGUUGUAUUUUUCAUACGGGACUAUCCUGGUCAACAGGGAGGAAGGUGGGGAUGACGUCAAGUCAGCAUGGCUCUUACGCCUCGGGGCUACACCCGCGUUACAAUGGUCAGUACAAUGAGCUGCUAACUCGCAAGAGGGAGCCAAUCUCAUCAAAGCAGGUCUCAGUUCGGAUUGAAGGCUGCAAUUCGCCUUCAUGAAGUCGGAAUCGCU